rnacentral:tRNA from 1 species
AUGGCUGUGGCUCAGUGGUAGAGCACUUGCCUUGCAUGUGUGAGGCACUGGGUUCAAUCCUCAGCACCACA